rnacentral:lncRNA from 1 species
AAAGUCCAUCGAUAUGAAACCUUGAUCGAAGAGUCUCAAACCAGUGGGACUCUUGACCCCGGUACCCAAAAUGUGUGGAACUCAUGAUCAGAGAAUCUUGAUUCUUGAUCACAAAGUCCCAGACAUAUAGGACUCAGAGUCUCUGAGCAUUAGGACUCUUGGUCGAAGAGUCCCAGUCCAGUGGGACUCUUCACCAGCCAUC